rnacentral:lncRNA from 1 species
CAAACAACCAGGCUACUAUUUCACCAGUAGGCACACCUUGCUUGGCAGGUUGGUAUUCCAGCAUGUCGGGCUUGCCAAGGAAUAAGGACAUUGAUGGCGUUUUCUCUUCUAGAGGACUACAAAGCCCCUUCCAGCAUGAUGAAAGCUUCUUGUAUCAGGUAUAUGUGUGCCUGGUGCCUACAGAGUCCAGAAGAGGACUGGAAUUGGAGUUGAAAAUGGUAUGAGUCUCCAUAUGAGUGCUAGGACCUGAACCUGCAUCCUCAGCAAGAACAAGUGCUCUCGACUGCUGAGCCAUCUAUAGCUCCUCUUGUAUCUUUUAGACUUAUUAAUGAAGGGAUGUUGAAGUUUAUCAAAUACCCUUUUCUGUAUCUUUCAAGAUGAUGAUGAUGUAAGUUUUGUCCUUG